UUUGUGUAGCCCUGGCUGUCCUGGAACUCAAUCUGUAUACCAGGCUGGCCUCAAACUCAAAGAUUCAUCUACCCCUGCCUCCCAAGUGCUGGGAUUAAAGGCAUGUGCCAUCACUGCC
rnacentral:miRNA from 1 species